rnacentral:rRNA from 1 species
GACGAACGCUGGCGGCGUGCCUAAUACAUGCAAGUAGGACGCAGUUGCGAACGGGUGAGUAACGCGUAGGUAACUACCUAUUAGAGGGGGAUCACUAUUGGAAACGAUAGCUACUACCGCAUACUAGUAGAUGGACCUGCGUUGUAUUAGCUAGUAGGUAGGGUAAUGGGCUACCUAGGCAACGAUACAUAGCCGACCUGAGAGGGUGAUCGGCCACACUGGGACUGAGACACGGCCCAGCCUCCUACGGGAGGCAGCAGUAGGGAAUCGUCGGCAAGGGACGAAAGUGUGACCGAGUAACGCAGCGUGAGUGAAGGAGGGUGUCGGAUCGUAAAACUCUGUUGUUAGGGAAGCGGUAUCUAACCAGAAAGCCACGGCUAACUACGUGCCAGCAGCCGCGGUAAUUC